rnacentral:rRNA from 1 species
UACGGGAGGCAGCAGUGGGGAAUAUUGCACAAUGGGCGAAAGCCUGAUGCAGCUAUGCCGCGUGUAUGAAGAAGGCCUUAGGGUUGUAAAGUACUUUCAUCGGGGAGGAAAAACAAAACUAAUAAUUUUAUUUCUUGACGUUACCCGAAAAAGAAGCACCGGCUAACUCCGUGCCAGCAGCCGCGGUAAUACGGAGGGUGCUAGCGUUAAUCAGAAUUACUGGGCGUAAAGAGCACGUAGGUGGUUUUUUUAAGUCAGAUGUGAAAUCCCUGGGCUUAACCUAGGAACUGCAUUUUGAAACUGAAAUACUAGAGUAUCGUAGAGGGAGGUAGAAUUCUAGGUGUAGCGGUGAAAUGCGUAGAUAUCUGGAGGAAUACUUGUGGCGAAAGCGGCCUCCUAAACGAAUACUGACACUGAGGGUGCGAAAGCGUGGGGAGCAAACAGGGAUUAGAUACC